UACGGAGGGUGCGAGCGUUAAUCGGAAUAACUGGGCGUAAAGGGCACGCAGGCGGUGACUUAAGUGAGGUGUGAAAGCCCCGGGCUUAACCUGGGAAUUGCAUUUCAUACUGGGUCGCUAGAGUACUUUAGGGAGGGGUAGAAUUCCACGUGUAGCGGUGAAAUGCGUAGAGAUGUGGAGGAAUACCGAAGGCGAAGGCAGCCCCUUGGGAAUGUACUGACGCUCAUGUGCGAAAGCGUGGGGAGCAAACAGGAUUAGAAACCCGUGUAGUCC
rnacentral:rRNA from 1 species